GCCGAAGUGGCGGAACUGGCAGACGCGCACGACUCAAACUCGUGUGGAGUAAUCCGUGUGGGUUCGACUCCCACCUUCGGCA
rnacentral:tRNA from 1 species